rnacentral:rRNA from 1 species
GACGAACGCUGGCGGCGUGGAUUAGGCAUGCAAGUCGAACGGUAGGAUACCUUCGGGUAUCUGAGAGUGGCGAACGGGUGAGUAACACGUAGGUGAUCUACCCUCAAGAUUGGGACAACCCAGGGAAACUUGGGCUAAUACCGGAUGAAAGCAGCAGUGAUGUUGUUUGAAAGGUGGCGUAAGCUGCCGUUUGGGGAUGAGCCUGCGCUCUAUUAGUUAGUUGGCGGGGUAAAGGCCCACCAAGGCGAUGAUAGAUAGGCGGCCUUAACGGGUGGUCGCCCACACUGGGAUUGAGAUACGGCCCAGACUCCUACGGGAGGCAGCAGUCGAGAAUAGUCUACAAUGGCCGAAAGGCUGAUAGUGCGACGCCGCGUGAACGAAGAAGCCCUUCGGGGUGUAAAGUUCUUUUAUAUGUGAGCAGUGCUUUCUAUGUGAACAGCAUGGGGAGAGAGAUAUUAAGCAUAUGAAUAAGCAAACGGCUAAACUCCGUGCC